GAUCCUGGCUCAGGAUGAACGCUAGCUACAGGCUUAACACAUGCAAGUCGAGGGGCAGCAUGGUCUUAGCUUGCUAAGGCCGAUGGCGACCGGCGCACGGGUGAGUAACACGUAUCCAACCUGCCGUCUACUCUUGGACAGCCUUCUGAAAGGAAGAUUAAUACAAGAUGGCAUCAUGAGUCCGCAUGUUCACAUGAUUAAAGGUAUUCCGGUAGACGAUGGGGAUGCCG
rnacentral:rRNA from 1 species